rnacentral:ribozyme from 1 species
UGCCCAGCAUUGCUAUCUCUACCUUUUCGCGGUACUGGCCGGGGUACGAACAACCUUAGGGAAGAUCGGGUAACAAACCCCGGCGGGUACUUUAGUCGUAUGCUGACAGGGAAGG